UACAGAGUUCAUGCCCGAAAGGGUAGACCUCCCACCCUUGUGUAUUAUUACUUUGUUGCUUUGGCGAGCUGCCUUCGGGCCUUGUAUGCUCGCCAGAGAAAACCAAAACUCUUUUUAUUAAUGUCGUCUGAGUACUAUAUAAUAGUUAAAACUUUCAACAACGGAUCUCUUGGUUCUGGCAUCGAUGAAGAACGCAGCGAAAUGCGAUAAGUAAUGUGAAUUGCAGAAUUCAGUGAAUCAUCGAAUCUUUGAACGCACAUUGCGCCCCUUGGUAUUCCGGGGGGCAUGCCUGUUCGAGCGUCAUUUCAACCCUCAAGCUUAGCUUGGUAUUGAGUCUAUGUCAGUAAUGGCAGGCUCUAAAAUCAGUGGCGGCGCCGCUGGGUCCUGAACGUAGUAAUAUCUCUCGUUACAGGUUCUCGGUGUGCUUCUGCCAAAACCCAAAUUUUUCUAUGGUUGACCUCGGAUCAGGUAGGGAUACCCGCUGAACUUAAGCAUAUCAAUAAGCGGA
rnacentral:rRNA from 1 species